AGUGAACGCUGGCGGUAGGCCUAACACAUGCAAGUCGAACGGCAGCACAGUAAGAGCUUGCUCUUACGGGUGGCGAGUGGCGGACGGGUGAGGAAUACAUCGGAAUCUACUUUUUCGUGGGGGAUAACGUAGGGAAACUUACGCUAAUACCGCAUACGACCCACGGGUGAAAGCAGGGGAUCUUCGGACCUUGCGCGAUUGAAUGAGCCGAUGUCGGAUUAGCUAGUUGGCGGGGUAAAGGCCCACCAAGGCGACGAUCCGUAGCUGGUCUGAGAGGAUGAUCAGCCACACUGGAACUGAGACACGGUCCAGACUCCUACGGGAGGCAGCAGUGGGGAAUAUUGGACAAUGGGCGCAAGCCUGAUCCAGCCAUACCGCGUGGGUGAAGAAGGCCUUCGGGUUGUAAGGCCCUUUUGUUGGGAAAGAAAAGCAGCAGGUUAAUACCCCGCUGUUCUGACGGUACCCAAAGAAUAAGCACCGGCUAACUUCGUG
rnacentral:rRNA from 1 species